rnacentral:rRNA from 1 species
CGCGUAUCCAACCUACCCUUGUCCAUCGGAUAACCCGUCGAAAGGCGGCCUAACACGAUAUGCGGUUCACAGCAGGCAUCUAACGUGAACGAAAUGUGAAGGAGAAGGAUGGGGAUGCGUCUGAUUAGCUUGUUGGCGGGGUAACGGCCCACCAAGGCUACGAUCAGUAGGGGUUCUGAGAGGAAGGUCCCCCACAUUGGAACUGAGACACGGUCCAA